rnacentral:rRNA from 1 species
UACGUAGGGUGCGAGCGUUGUCCGGAAUUAUUGGGCGUAAAGGGCUCGUAGGCGGUUUGUCGCGUCGGGAGUGAAAACACCGGGCUUAACUCGGUGCUUGCUUUCGAUACGGGCAGACUAGAGGUAUGCAGGGGAGAACGGAAUUCCUGGUGUAGCGGUGAAAUGCGCAGAUAUCAGGAGGAACACCUGAGGUGAAGACGGGUUGCUGGGCUGACACUGACGCUGAGGCGCGAAAGCCAGGGGAGCAAACGGG